rnacentral:lncRNA from 1 species
GUUGAACCAUCCCUGCAUCCCUGGGAUGAAUCCCACUUGGUCAGGGUGUAUGAUCUUCUUGACGAUCUUCUGCAUUCUGUUUGACAGUAUCUUAUUAAGGAUUUUUGCAUCUAUGUUCAUUAGUGCGAUUGACCUAUAGUUCUCUCUUUUGGUUGGGUCUUUCUCUGCUUUGGGGAUCAAGGUGAUGCUUGCUUCCAGGAAUGAAUUUGAGAGUAUUGCUUCCCUUUCAAUUUCCUUGAAGAGUUUAAACAGUAGUGGCAGUAGUUCUUCUCUAAAUGUCUUGUAGAAUUCAGCAGUAAAGCCAUCAGGACCUGGGCUUUUCUUAGUUGGUAAGUUUUUAGUUACAUUUUCAGUUUCAUUGGUUGAUAUUGGGGUGUUUAGAAUUUUUAGAUCUUCUUCAUUCAACUUUGGUAAUUCAUAUGUAUUUAGGAAUCUGUCCAUUUCUUCUGUGUUUUCCAUCUUAUUGGAGUGUAGGUUCUGGAAGUAGGUAUUGAUGAUCUUCUGGAUUUCUGCUGGGUCUGUUGUGACUUCACCCUUUACAUUUCCAAUUUCAUGGAUUUGAGUUUCCUUUCCUUUUUUCAAUAAGUUUGGCUAAGGGUUUAUCAAUUUUGUUUAUUCUUUCAAAGAACCAUCUCUUUGGUUCAUUGAUUUUUUUUUGUAUCAUACUCUUAGUCUCCAUUGCAUUGAUUUCUCCUCUGCUAUUUAUAAUUUCUUCCCUUGUAUGAUGGGUUUGUCAUACUCUUCUUCUUCUAGAAGCUUGAGGUUCAGUAUCAGGUUGUGUAAUUGAGCUCGCUGUGUUUUCCUAAUGUGACUAUUCACUGCUAUGAAUUUCCCUUCAGAAGACUGCUUUCACUGUGUUCCAUAGAUUCCAAUAUGUUGUACUGUCACUGUCAUUUAAUUGUAGGAACUGUUUGAUUUCUUCUUUAAUAUCCUCUGUGACCCAGUGGUUAUUCAGAAGUGUGUUGUUCCACUUCCAUGUGUUUAUGAAAUUCUUGUGGUUUCUUUUUCUAUUCAUCUCCAAUUUCAUUGCAUAUGGUCUGAUAAUAUACAGGGGACAACUUCAAUUUCUUUGCACUUACUUAAACAUGCUCUAUGAGUGAGUAUGUGGUUUAUUUUACAGAAUGACCCAUGUGCAGCUGAAAAAAACAUAUAUUCUGAUUUUGUGAGGUGGAACACUCUGUAAACAUCUCUAAAUUCAUUUGUUCAAGAGUUUAUGUUCUAGUAUUUUGUUGUUUAUAUUUUGUCUAGUUGAUCUAUUUGUGACAGUGGGGUAUUGAGUUCCCCCACUACGAUUGUAUUAGUGCUGAUUUGAUUUUUUCAUGUCAAUUAGUAUUUGUUUUAUAUAGUUGGGCAUACUAGUGUUUGGUGCAUAGAUAUUUAUGAUUGUCAUCUCUUCCUUUUGGAUUGUUCCCUUUACAAGGAUGUAGUGUCCUUUGUCUCUCUUAAUCAGUGUUGGUUUGAAAUCCACUUGAUCUGAAAAGAGAAUAGCUACUACUGGUUUUUUUUUUUUUUUGGAUUUCUGUAGUAUGGCAUAUUGUUUUCCACUGUUUAACUUUCAGUUAUGAGUUUCUUUUUGAAUUAAGUGUGUUUCUUGUAUGCAGCAUAUUGUUGGAUUUUGCUUCUUGACCCAUUCUGUCAGUCUAUUUCUUUUGAUUGGUGAGUUGAGACCAUUAACAUUGAUGGUUAUAAGUGAUAAAUAUUGACUUAUCCUUGUCAUGAAUUUUUCUUUUUGUUGGUUUCUCCCCCUUUGCAUUUAAUUCCUUGUAGUGCCUGAUGAUUCAUUCUGUGGGGCUUCAUGGGGUUGUGAUCCUCAUUGUCUUUUCCUAGGAUAUUGUCUAAAAUUUUUUGGAGUGUUGGUUUUGUAUUCAUGAAGUUCCUAAGGUGAUCUUUGUCAUGAAAGUAACUUAUUUCUCCAUCAAUUUUAAAAGAUAGUUUUGCAGGGUACAUCAAUCUGGGUUGGAGGUUGUUUUCCUUUAGGGCUUGAAAUACAUCACUCUAAGGUCUUGUGGGUUUGUGUUGAGAAGUCUGCUGUGAUUCUCAUGGGAUUUCCUUUGUAUGUGAUUUGUUUCUUUUCUCUAAGUUCUUGUAGAAUUUGUUCUUCUCCUGGGUUCCUGGACUCUUAACUAUUAUAUGGCUAUGUGAAGAUUUUUUUUUGAUCACAGCCAGUUUGAGUCCUAAAUGCCUCACUUUUUGCUAUGUCAAGUUCUUUUCUCCUAUUUGGGAAGUUUUCUGCCAUCACAUUUUUGAACAGCUUUUUUACUGUCAUCUGUACUCUCUCCUGUUUCUUCAUUGACUCCAAUCAGUCUUAUGUUAUUCUUCUUUGCAUCAUCUAGCAGCUACUAGAUUGAUUUCUAGUGAUUCCUUAGUAUUUUGAAGAAAUUUUUCUUUUCCUUGUCAAUAUUUGCCAUCCUAUCUUCUAUAUCUGAAAUUCUAUCCUCACAUUGGCUCAUUUUGCUGUGUAAACUUUCAAUGAAGCUUUUCAUUUUCUGAAAAUCACUUCACAUUUGAUUUAUGGUUUCCAUUUGUUUCCUAUGUUGGGAUUCCAUCAUGUUCCUCAGAUCCUCUAUUUUUUUAUUCUGUGUCCUCUCUAGAUUUAUUAAUCAUGUUUUGCACUAUGGGCACAAUCUCUGCUGUUAUCUGAGAAACUAUUUCUGAUUUCAUUUUUCCCAGAUCAUCUGUUGUUGCCAGUUCAGGAAGUCCAGGUGGUUGAGUAUCAGAGUGCUCUGUCUUGUUGCCCUUUGGGGUUGCCUUAGGUGAUCUGGCAGUGUGGUUUCGAGACUUUUUAAUGUGUCUUCUCAUUUCAACAAAUGCCGCCUGCUGCCUUUGUUGAGGCAACUUUUUGCUCACACAAUGAUGUUGAAUUCUCAGCAAGCUACCAAGAAGCCUUUAUUCUUCUGCUCCCCAGUACACCAAUUUCUUAGUUCAGAGUGGUGGUCUUCUGGACCCCUGAGCUGACCUGUUGUCUGGGUAGACUUCUGGCUGUGGCCUGUGUACACUUGGGAUGGUAUCUAGGUGUGCCUCUCACUGGGGCCCCUAUGUAGCUGUUGUCCAGGAGGGCCUUUGGCUGGGGCUGUGCACCCCAAUUCCUGUUGUUGGUGCAGGCUUUGGCUGUGGUCUCCAUGCACUUAUCAGUGGUAUCAGGGUGAGCCUCUGGGUAUCACUUGUGUGCCUGUGUAGCUCUUUUGCAGGUAGGUCCUUGGCUGUUCACAAUGGCAUGCCUGGCCUCUGGCUGAAGCUUGUGGACCUGUGCAGUUCUUUUCUGGGUGGGACUUUGGCAUGGGCACAUGUGCAGGAGCUUCUGGGGUUAGGAUGGAGCCCUGGCUGGGAUCCACCUGUAGCCAUGACAGUUUGGGUCUCACAUCUCCUCCCUGGGAUCUAUGCACACUUACUGAUGAAAUAGUGGGGCUCCUUAGUAUCACAAAAUUUCCUACUAGCUUUCAUUGGUUGUUUUCAUGCUUAUGCAGGUUCUUGAUUUCUCACUAAGGAAUUGGUCCAUGUAUUAUUGUUGAAUCAGUGUUUCUCUGAGGGAAGGAGGAUCUAAGGCUUCCUAUUUUGCCAUUUUGCAGAAGGAUGAGUGUAAUGCAUAAAAGAUUUAGAAAAGCUCCUGGCAUUCAAUAAGCACUCAACAAAUCAUAGCUUCUUUUCUUCUUCUGCCUUGUUGUUGAUAUUUUUUCCUUUACAUUGUCUUAUUUUUCUUCCAAAAUUCAGAAAGUAAUAUAAUGAGAAUUGCAAUAAGAAUAAAAAAUACUAGUACAUUGAAUUCAACCUUAAAAGAGAAAACAGAAGAACUAAAUACAAAUCACAUUUAUUUCUUCUAAAUCAAUAAAAUGCUAACAAGACAUUGUAAUUAUUGGUUCUGAUGAAAUUGGCCUGAGGUACAUUGAUAGGAAGUAAGCAAUGAUGGCACUGUGUGACAGUUUCUGAACAGCAUAACUACCUAUGUUCUAAGCUAUUUCAAUACAGAAAGAACUGGACUAGCAAAACUCAUGAAACAAAUAAUAUCAAGCCAGAGACUCUUGGCAAACUAUAAGAGAGUCAGUUCUUAUUGAAAUCAAUUAAAUGCCAGGACUUCUGUGGUAAGACAGGGGUUACAUAAUUUUGAAUUUAUACUUGAAGAGGGUUUGUACAUAGGAGUGGCUUUGUAUAUUUAUAUUCUGUGAAUAAGUUGUAUAUCAUUAUGACAGUUUCAAAAGUAACACUAUAUGGAGGAUAUUUUAUAUGAACUGGAGGUCUUUAGAGAGCAAUAGAGGGCACUACUAAUAGCUGUGGCAGAAUAACAACUAGAGUACCCCAGAACUUAUCCUAAGGUCACUAAGAAAUCUCUCAUUUAUGUAUGGCAGAAGGAAGAUGUUAAAACUUGUGAGAUUGUCUUUUUCCUGGCUUUCUCCUGAAGCCUUCUCCACUUGGUUCUGUUUUUUUACAUGUCCCAACCUUUUUACACCUGUGGCAAUGACUGAUUAUCUAAUGGUAUAGAUAAGAGCAGUUUUAGUUUUUUUUUGGUACUCCGGAUCAAACCCAGGAGCUUAAGCUUGGGAGGCAGGCACAGUGCCACUGAGCUAAGUCCCUGGCCCUGGAGCAGUUUUUUUUUAUAACAUUAGUUUUAAAAACAAAAGAUUGUAACAGCAUGGAGUUAAAUAUUAGAUACUUUUCUCUAAAGGAAAGCAAACAUCACAGGAAGAAAACCAUUCAUCUUCAAUUGUAAUGAAGAACUUAGCAGCUAUAUUUGUUCCUAUGUGUCUAUUUCUUUCUCUACCUGUACAUUUAUUUAUCCUCCUCUUGACUCAAGCAGGCCCAUACUGUAUUAGUUAGGAAAAAUUACUCUUUGAUUAUAAGUUAAAGAGAAAUUCAAAGUAAGCAACACAGUGAGGAGGAAACCAUGAUAAUAGCCCUUCCUUUCCUCUAGCAUUUUUCUGUGAUGUGACGUUGAUAAUACAUAAUUACUUUUUAAACUUAAUGCCAAAUUCCUCGUGAAUCUUUAUAGUUUGCUUCUAUAUGAACCUAGAAACUCCUGGAAUUUACUACCUAGUUGGGCUUCCAUGGGUCUUGCAGAAUUUGAGAAAUAUGUCAUUAUUUAUUUUGAGUGAGAAAUUAUUUCAGUUUCUUGAGGUUGCAGGUCAGUUACAUGGCUGUGGUUUUGUGAGGCACAACUUCUCUUCAUGUAUUAUGUUCUCUUUUAAAGUUUUGAAAGGCAUAUUCAUGAGGUUCUGCUGUUCUACACAACAUAAUAGAAUCCUGGUUUUCCCUUUUUCACUGUUGAACAGGUGAUCUUUUUCUACCUUAUACAAGUGACCUUGAAAUGGAGGCACUGACCCCUGGGGGUUUUUUGUUUUAGAUCAUUGUAUUUUCCUCUGUAGAUUGAGAAGCCUAGUCAUGGAAUGCAUUGGUUUACUGAAGAUUCUCUGGAGUUUUGAACUAUGCCACUUUAAAUUUCCUGCAUUCUUUCUUUCUUUAUAUCCUUCUCCUCUCCCCCUGGAAUAUAGCAUCAAGGCAAGUUUUCUGAUGAGAAUGAAUGCAAAGAAUGUACCUCUCCAGAGAAAGGAAGUAUGAAUAAAACGAUCUCUGGUUUUCCAAAUACAGGAUGCUUUUUUCUUUUUGCUUAUUGAAAUUUUUUCUCCCUAACAGGUUACCUCUAAAAAACCUUUAUAUGAAACUAGCUGCAGCAAGGGCAUUAAAAAAGCCUCAUCUGUAUGGAAUCAUAUUUUGGAAAGCCUAUUAAAAAGCAGAAUUUUAAUUAAAAGAUCUUUGCAUGACUCUUAAAUCCUGGGUUAGUAUGAAUCUUCUUUCCUCUAUACCUUGUGGUGUAAAGGAUGGUUAGUAUGGGUAGAUGUAUGGUUACAGAAAGCUCAUUUAAGCCCAGAGAAGCAGGAUAGCAAAGUAGGAAACAGCCUCAGGUCAGAGUUGGACAUUCUUUUGUUUGAAUACCUAGACCUGUGCUUGCUGGGGAGACCUUGGGCAUGUUACCUAAAUUUUCUGGGUCAUAAUUUCCUCAUCUAUACAAUUGGGUAAUGAUUACGUACUUCUCAUUGGUGUUGUGAAGGUUAAAUGAAAUAGAGGAAUAAAGCCCAGUACUUGGUACAUCAAAGCAUUCAAUAAGUACAAGACAUGUUUUCUUAUUUAUAGCGUGGCAGUGCAGUCUGACCUUGCCAUACUUCUUGGCUCAUUUUUAUUCCACUGUGUUUUCUUUUGUCUGUACUAGGAAAAGUAAAGCCUCACACUACAAUGCAAAUGAAAUAUCUUGAAAGUUUGAGGGACCAUUUAUAUAACUAACCUGUAUUUUUCUUUUCUAACCCGUGUUCAUGUUUGUACUCUUCAAACUGUGUAUACAGCCAGAGAAUCUUUAAUAAAUUCAGUUCUCAAUAGCAACAACACACACAGGGUCAUGUAAAUCAACAUAAUGCCUUUUCUUUUAUUACCAAGAAGCUUGAACAUUGCUUCUCAAUAAAACUCAUACAACACUGACUUAUUAAAGAUGUUAUUUAACAUAAUUUUAAAUAUAGCAAAUAAUAGCUCACCCAGAAUGCUAUGUACCCAACAUGUGCUAAGUGCAUCAUGAAGAUUGGAUUUUUUGCUGGGUCUGUUGUAAUUUCACCCUUUUCAUUUCUAAUUGCAUGUAUUUGGGCCUUGUCUUUCCUUUUUCUGAUAAGUUUUGCUAAGGAUUUGUUAAUUUUGUUGAUUCUUUCGAAGAACCAACUCUUGGCUUCAUUGAUUUUUUUGUAUUGUUCGAUUGCAUUGAUUUCUGCCCUGAUCUUUAUAAUUUCCUCCCUUUUAUGAACUUUGGGUUUGUCCUACUCUUCUCUUUCUGUAAGCUUGAGGUUCAGCAUCAGGUUGUUUAAUUGGGCUCACUUUGUUUUCCUAAUAUGAGUAUUCGCUGGUAUGAUUUUCCCUCAUAAGACUGCUUUCAUUGUGUCUCAUAGAUUCUGAUAUGUUGUGUUGUCAUUGUCAUUUAUUUGAAGGAACUGUCUGAUUUCUUCUUUAAUGUCCUCUGUGACCCGUUGGUUAUUCAGAAGUGUGUUGUUCAAUUUCCAUGUGUUUGUAAAUGUUUUUGCAGUUUCUUUUGCUAUUGAUCUCCAAUUUCAUCACGCUAUGGUCUGAUAAUACACAGGGGAUAACUUCAAUUCCUUUUUACUUACCUAAAUAUGUUCUAUGAGGAAGUGUGUGUUCUAUUUUGGAGAACGACCCAUGUGCAGAUGAAAAGAACGUGUAUUCUGAUUUUGUGGGGUGGAACACUCUGUAAACAUCUGUUAAAUUCAUAUGUUCAAGAGUUUGAGUUCUAGUGUUUUGUUGUGUGUGACAAUGGCAUAUUGAGGUCCCCCAUUCCUAUCGCAUUAGUACUUAUAUGGUUUUUCAUGUCCUUUAGUAUUUGUUUUAUAUAGUUGGGUGCACUAGUGUUUGGUGUAUAGAUGUUUAUGAUUGUAAUCUCUUCUUCUUGGAUUUGUCCCUUUACAAGGAUAUAGUGUCCUUCUUUGUCUCUUAAUCAGUGUGGGUUUGAAAUCCACUUGGUCUGCAAAGAGGAUAGCUACUCCUGCUUAUUUUUGGGUUUCUUUCGCAUGGAGUAUUGUUUUCCACCCUUUAACUUUCAGUCUGUUAGUUUAAUUUUGAAUUGUUUUUUUUUUGAAUGCAGCAUAUUGUUGGAUCUUGCUUCUUGACACAUUCUGCCAGUCUAUUUCUUUUGAUUGGUGAGUUGAGACCAUUAACAUUGAUGGAUAUAAAUUAUACGUAUCGAGUUAUCAUUGUCCUGACUUUGUCUUUUUGUUUGAUCUUCCCCCUUUGUUUUUAAUUUCUUGUAGUGCCCAGUGGAUUCAUUCUGCUGGGCUUCCUGGGGUUGUGAUCCUCAUUGUCUUUUCCUAGAAUUUUGUCUAAAAUUUUUUGGAGUGCUGGUUUGGUAUUUAGGAAGUUCCUAAAAUGCUCUUUGUCAUGAAAGUAUCUUAUUUCUCCAUCAAUUUUGAAAGAUAGUUUUGCAGGGUACAUCAAUCUGCGCUGGAGGCUGUUUUCCUUUAGGGCUUGAAACACAUCACUCCAGGCUCUUCUUGCUUUGAGGGUUUGCAUUGCAAAAUUUACUGUGAUUCUGAUGGGAUUUCCUUCGUAUGUGAUUUCUUUCUUUUCUUUAACUGCUUGUAGAAUUUUGUUCUUCUCUUGGGCUUCUGUAAUCUUAACAAUUAUUUGCCUAUGCAUAGAUUUUUUUUUGAUCAAGGCUAGUUGGAGUUCUAUAUGCCUUGCUUAUCUGUAUGUGAAAUUCUUUUCCCGUGCUUGGGAAGUUUUCUGCCAUCACUUCUGUAAACAGUUUUUUUUAGGUCAUCUGCACUCUAUCCUGUUUCUUCAUUGACUCCAGUCAGUCUUAUGUUAUUUUUCUUUGCAUUGUCUAGCAGCUGCUGUAUUGAUUCCUCAUGGUCCCUUACAAUUUUACAGAAUUUUUUCUUUUCAUAGUCACUAAUUGCAAUCUUAUCUUCUAUAUCAGAAAUUCUGUAUUCACAUCAGCUCAUUCUGCUGCAUGGACUUUCAGUGGAGUUUUUAAUCUCCUGGAAAUCUGUUUGCAUCUAUUUUAUGGAUUCAAUUUGUUUCCUAUGUUGGCCUUACAUCAAGUUCCUCAGCUCCUCUAUUUUUUUAUCUGAAUCCUCUCUAGAUUGAUUAAUCAUGUCUUGCACUAUGGGCACAAUCUUUGCUGUUAUGUCAGAAAUUAUUUCUUAUUUCAUUUUUUCCAGAUCCUCUUUCUUUGCUCAUUCAGGGAAUACACAUGGUUGAGCAUCAGAGUGUUCCAUCUUGUUUCCCAUUGGGGUUGCUGUUCGUGGUCUGGAAGUCUGGUUCUGAGGCUUGUUUACCUGUCUUCUCAUUUCGAUGGGGUGGUGGGAUUCUGGGCACCCACGUGGCUUACCUCCUCUGUGCUGGGAGCUGUGGCAUGCCUACUCAGAAGACUUCUGCAGGCUGGGAGCUGCAGCACACCUACCCCGAAGCCUCCUCCUGGCUGGGAGCUGUGGCACUCUGACCUACAAGUCUUCUCUGGGCUGGGAGCCAUGGCAUGCUGACCUGGAGGCCUCCUCUGUGCUGGGAGCUGUGGCAUGCCUACCUGGAUGCCUCCUCCAGGCUGGGAGCCCUACAUGCCUACCUGGAAGCCUUAUCCACACUGGGAGCCAUGGCAUGCCUACCCGGAAGCCUACUCCUGUCUGGGAGCUGUGGCACACUGACCCGGAGGCCUCCUCUGUGCUGGCAGCCAUGACAUGCCUACCUAGGAGCCUCCUCCAGACUGGGAGCCAUGGCACGCUUACCUGGAAGCCUUGCCCAUGCUGGGAGCCUUGGCACGCCUACCCAGAAACCUCCUCCUAUGUGAGAGCUGUGGCAUGCUGAGCCGGAAGCCUCCUCUAUGCUGGGAGCUGUGGGAUGCCUACCCGGAAGCCUCCUCCAGGCUGGAGCCACUGCAUGCCUACCCAGAAGCCUUGUCCAUGCUGGGAGCCACCGGAUGCAGACCUGGAAGUUUCCUCUGGGCUGGGAGCCAUGGUACACCAACCUGGAGGCCUCCUCUGUGCUGGGAGCCAUGGCACAACUAUCCAGAAGCCUUCUUUCCUUUUUUUGAUAAGGUUGACUAGGGAUUUGUCAAUUUUGUUUUUUCUUUUGAAGAACCAACUCUUGGCUUCAUUGAUUUUUUUGUAUCAUUCUCUUAGUCUCCAUUGGGUUGAUUUCUGCUCUUAUCUUUAUAUUUUCCUCCCUUGUGUGAACUUUUUGUUUGUUCUACUCUUCUUUUUCUAGAAGCUUGAGGUUCAGUAUCAGGUUGUUUAAUUGGGCUCAUUCUGUUUUCCUAAUAUGAGUAUUCAGUGCUAUGAAUUUCUCUCAAAAGACUGCUUUCAUUUUGUCCCAUAGAUUCUGAUAGGUUGUAUUACCAUUGUCAUUCAAUUGAAGGAACUGUCUGAUUUCUUCUUUAAUAUCCUCUGUGACCCAUUGGUUAUUCAGAAAUGUGUUGUUCAAUUUCCAUGUGUUUAUGAAAUUUUUUGCAGAUUCUUUUGCUAUUGAUCUCCAAUUUCUUUGCACUAUGGUCUGAUAAUAUAGAGGAUAACUUCAAUUCCUUUGCACUUACUUGAAUAUGUUCUAUCAGUGAGUAUGUUGUCUAAUUUGGAGAACAACCCAUGUGCAGCUGAAAAGAAUAUGUAUUCUGAUUUUGUGGGGUGGAACACUCUGUAAACAUCUGUUAAGUCCAUUUGUUCAAGAGUUUGAUUGAGUUGUAGUAUUUCAUUGUUUGUUUUUUGUCUAGUUGAUCAGUCUAUUUGUGACAGUGGGGUAUUGAGGUCCCCCACUACUAUUGUAUUAGUGCUUAUUUGAUUUUUCGUGUCCAGUAGUAUUUAUUUUAUAUAGUUGGGCACACUAGUGUUUGGUGCAUAUAUAUUUAUGAUUGUUAUCUCUCCCUCUUGGAUUGUUCCCUUUACAAGGAUGUAGUGUCCUUCUUUGUCUCUCUUAAUCAGUGUUGGUUUGAAAUCCACUUGAUCUGAAAAGAGAAUAGCUAAUCCUGCUUUUCUGGGGGGUUUCUGUCUGAUGGAGUAUUCUUUUCCACCAUUUAACUUUCAGUUGAGUUUCUUUUUGAAUUAAGUGUGUUUCUUGUAUGCAGCAUAUUGUUGGAUCUUGCUUCUUGACCCAUUCUGCCAGUCGAUUUCUUUUGAUUGGUGAAUUGAGACCAUUAACAUUGACGGUUAUAAUUGAUACGUAUUGACUUAUCAUUGUCAUGACUUUUUCUGUUUGUUGGAUUCUCCCCCUUUGCAUUUAAUUUCUUGUUGUGCCUGAUGGAUUCAUUCUGCUGUGCUUCCUGGUGUUGUGAUCCUUGUUGUCUUUUCCUAGGAUAUUGUCUAAAAUUUUUUGGAGUGCUGGUUUGGUGUUCAUGAAGUUCCUAAGGUGCUCUUUGUCAUGAAGGUAUUGUAUUUCUCCAGCAAUUUCAAAAGAUAGUUUUUCAGGGUACAUCAUUCUGGGUUUGAGGCUGUUUUCCUUUUGGUCAUGGAAUAUGUCACUCCAAGCUCUUCUUGCCUUGAGUGUUUGCAUUGAGAAGUUUGCUAUGAUUCUGUUGGGCUUUCCUUUGUAUGUGAUUGGUUUCUUUUCUCUAACUGCCUGUAGAAUUUUAUUCUUAUGUUGGGUUUCUGGAAUCUUAACAAUUAUAUGCCUCUGUGUAGAUUUUUUUUUGAUCAAGGCUAGUUGGAGUUCUAUGUGCCUCACUUACCAGUUUGUCAAGUUCUUUUCUUCUGCUUGGGAAGUUUUCUACCAUCACUUCUGUGAACAGUUUUUUUAUGUUGUCUGCACUCUCUCCUGUUUUUUCCUUGACUCUGAUCAGUCUUAUGUUAUUCUUCUGUGCAUUGUCUAGCAGCUGCUGGAUUGAUUCCUCAUGGUCCCUUACUAUUUUAAAGAAAUUUUUCUUUUCCUGGUCAGUAAUUACAAUCUUAUCCUCUAUAUCUGAAAUUCUGUCUUCACAUUGGCUCAUUCUGCUGCAUAAACUUUCAGUGGAGUUUUUAAUCUCCUGGAAAUCUGUUUGGAUCUGUUUAAUGGAUUGCAUUUUUCCUAUGUUGGGAUUCCAUCAUGUUCCUCAGCUUUUCUAUUUUUUUAUCUGUGUCCUCUCUAGAUUUAUUAAUCAUGUCUUACACUAUGGGCACAAUCUCUGCUGUUAUGUGAAAAAUUAUUUCUGAUUUCAUUUUUUCUAGACCCUCUGUUGUUUCCAGUUCAGGGAGUCCAGGUGGUUGAAUAUCAGAGUGUUCCAUCUCGUUUCCCUUUGGGGUUGCUGUAGGUGAUCUGGAAGUCUCAUUUUGAGACUUGUUCAUGUGUUUUCUCAUUUCCACGGGGGUUGGGGUGGGUGCUCCUGGUGCCAGGUUGCUUAUUCCUCUGCAGUGGGAGUGGUGCUAUGGAGGUUCAAGAGCCUCCUUCUCUGUGCUGGGAGCAGUGGUAUGGCAGCCCAGAAAGUCCUCCUCUCUGGAUAUUAAUCUUUUGUUGAAAGAAUAUGACAAAGAUGUUGUCCCAUUUUAUAACUUUCUUUUUACUCUGUUGUUUCCUUUGCUAAACAGAAGCUUUUAAAUUUGAUGUAUUCUCAUUUGUUGAUUCUUGCUGUUAUUUCCUGAGCUAGUAGAGUCCUAUUCAGGAAGUCACUGCUUUGAGUAUAGCAGGAAGGAUUUCUUCUGUUUUCCUCUAGCAUUUUCAAAGUUUCAGAUCAUAAGGUCUUUGAUCCAUUGUGAGCUGCUUUUUUUGUGGAUUAGAGAUGUUUGUCCAGUUUCCAUCUUCUAUAGGUGGAUAUCCAAUUUUCCCAGCUCCAUUUGAUAAAAAGAUUGGCUUUUUUUCAACAUACAUUUUUGCAACCUUUUUCAACAAUCAGGUGACUGAUGCUUCGUGAGUUUAUUUUGGGGUCUUCUGUUCAGUUCCAUUGUUUUGUAUGUCUUUCUAUGCCAAUACCUUGCUUUUUUAAUAAUGAAUGUAGAGUGUAUUUUGAAAUUAUUGCUGUAAUAAUUCCAGCAUAGCGGUUUGUUCUGAGUUUCUGGUUAUUUGGGGGUUUUCUGCUUCCAUAUGAAUUUAGCAUUGAUUUUUCUAGUUCUGUGAGGAAUUAUAUUGGUAUUUUGAUGGAAAUUGUAUUUAAAUUAUUUGGCACUUUUAGUAGUAUGACCAAUUUAAUACUAUUGAUUCUUGCAAUCUGUGAACAUGGGAAAUCUUUCUGUCUUCUAGUGUCCUCUUCAAUUUCUUUCUUCAGUGUUUUAUAAUUGUCACUUUAGAGGUUUCUUACCACUUUGGUUAGGUUUAUUACUUUUUUGUUAUUGUGAAUGAAAUUGUUUUGAUUUCUUUCUCAGUGAAAUUAUUGUCAUUGUAUAGGAAAUUAUGAGGUUUUGUAUGCUGAUUUUUGUAUUCUGGUACUUUACUAAAUUUGUUUAUGAGAUCUAAGAGACUUUUGGUAGAUUCUUGGUUUAAAAUUAUAACACUGACAAAAUGGAUAGUUUGACCUCAUCCUUUCCUUUUUGUAUCCAUUUUAAGAAAAUAUUUGUUCUAAUAAGUAUUUCUUUCCAAGAUGAAGAGACUCAAAUCUAAAUAGAUUAAAUGAUUUUUCACAAGGCAUAAAAGGAGUGGCAAAAUUGAACUAGAAGUCCAUUUGUUUUAGUCCUGGGUGAGUGAUGCAAGGGCUGUGUUUAAUUAUUCCUACAGUGACACUUUUCACUAACAACAUGCCUUGCUCCAGCUUAGAUAUCUGUUCUAAUCCUUUCAGAUCCAGCACAAUAAAUUAAUUCAUCUGUUUGCUCCUAGUUGCUUAAAGAAAAUAGAAUUGUUAAACCAUCUAGACUAACUUCAAUCUUUUUGCAAGAGGACACAACCAUACUUUGUUUAAAAAUACUGAAGCUGGACAUCUUGAGAAAUUAGAGAUGAAGCAUGAAUCUAAGAAAUAAUAGAUUUUAAAGAAAUAGAUAAAAUAACCACUUGAGUGACAGAUUUAUGAGUUGGAGUCAAACUUAGCAUAUUUCAGUUAUGAGCCUCCAGUUAUUUUCAGUGACCCUGGCUGUAGGAUUGACUUUACAGGUGUCCUGUUUACAAAACAUUUUUUUUAACAGUGCAGGCUUCAGUGCCAAAGUUAUUGACAGUGUUUUAUGGGGAGAAGAAAAGCUGUCUGUGAUGAGAUUAGUGAUAAAUUAUAUUUAAUGAUUUUUCAAAUUACAGUUGUAUUAGAAAAUUGUUAUUUGACUUGUCCUGUUGAGUAAACAUAAACUGAGUUGUAGUAAAUCUUUUUCUACACUUCUUGAAACUUGAGGCAGGCAUUUCUUAUUUUGGAUGUAGAGGACUCAGUGGUAAAUUUCUUGGAACUUGGCUGCUUUCUCCAUGUCACCCAGAUUUGUUAGCCUACUUAGGUAUUUCAUGGGUAUUCUAAACACAGAGUCCUUACUUUCUACCUUCCAAAGAGAAACUUAGAUUGCCAACCCCCCACCCUCAACCUCUUAAAUGAAUGAAGUGUAAAAUUUCAGUAUAAUAGAAAAAGGAAAGACCCUUGAAUGGGGUUGACUAUGCUUUCCUAAGGUAAGGUAAAUCAUAUACACAUAAUUGAUUUCAAGGUUGAAAUUACUAUCUCAUAACUUCACACACAAAACAGAAUUCAUAAAAUGUUUUUAGGUUUUCAGAUUAGUGACACCUGAUAGGAAAGAUAAUACUAAAUAGAUACUUCCACAAGGCUAGAAAAUUAACUGAGUGUUCAUUGUGAAUGUCAGGUUUUCCUGGACACUGUUGUGUGCUGUAUGCUUGACCUUCCAUUGGCUGAAAAGGCCCAGUUUUUGUUCUGUGAAGCAACUUCACCAAAAUCUGCAUGUUUUAUCUCCUACUUCUGUGAAGACUGACCUGGAAGUUCAAAAAUAGCCCACAUUUUCCACAUGCAAGACUCAGCUUGAUGAUCUCACAAGACUACCUUUAUUUGUUUUGAAUUUAAAAUAAUCAGAAAGUAUACAUUCAGAUGAAUCACAGAACCAUGCAUGUCUGAUCUAGAAAGCGAAGUCUCAAGGUCACCUACUCGAGACCUUGCUUUCAUCACUGCCAUCUGGUCUUAUUUGUACUGAAGAUAUUAAUAGUGUUGACAUCCAAUGAUGACUUUUACUUUUGAAUUUAGGAUGUCCCUUUUAUUUAUGGAAAAACUAGACAGAAAAAGCAUACCAAGUUUCUCAGGACUUAAAGAAUGUUGAAGAGUAAUCUAAAAUUUGCCCUUCUGCGUGAGUUUUAUAAAGUAUCUAUUGAAGGUGAAAUGGUCAUGUUUUGAGGCACCAUCUUCUCUGAUAAAAUCCAUCCAUUCCAGAUGAAGGCAGUAAUGUUCUGUGGAGAUAGUCAAGAUGUCUCCUGGACUGCUGAGGCAGGAUUUUCUGUUACUUUUUAUACUAAUUCUACAAGUGUUGGCUUUCUUUAUAAAUUAUAGGAAUAAUGUUUUAAUAUUCCUUCAGAUAGGAAAGAGAAAGGAAAAAGGAGAAGUAGAGAGGGAGAGAGAGAGAUUGAUUUUAUAUUUUAAUGUACUCUACUGAAUAGGAAACUAUGCAGAUAUGGUUUCAAAUUUCUCUUAACACUGAUUGCAUUUUAGUUUUCAAUUAAAUUUAAUAGCAACAAUUGUUUGGGGUUAAAUUGUCAUAAAAGUAUACCACAAAAAUUCAAAUGAAUAGUAAGAAUUUUCUAAUUGAGGAUAAUCUUGUGUUUAAAAGAUGAAGUCAAGAAUGAGACCUAACAUUCCCCUUUCUAAGGUUACAUAUAUAUUUCAGAUAAAAUGGCCAUUACCUGCUCUGGCAGACAAGAAGAGAAGCAUCCUCUUUAUGUGGGGAAUGUGGUCUGACUUUUGCAUUUAGAAAAUGUCCAGGGGAAUCUGAAUGAGUUCCUUUAGGAACCAGGUUCCACCCAAUAGUUUUCCUCUCUUUUCCUUAUUUGUGGUUGUCAUCUUGGUAAGUGUCAGAGCUCCAGGAUUUAUACUACAGGAAGCAGCAAGAUGAAGGAGGGAUGAAAUGUUUCCUUUAUAGACAACUCUAGAAGGGGAUAACUUCACUUUUUAUUAUAAUCUUGUGCAUAAACAUUAGUCACUUGGUAAUAACUAAGGCAAAGUGGCUGGGAAAGUUAGUUCAUAUUCUGAGCAGUCAGAUGCUCAGCAGAAACCAAGGGUUCUACUCCUAAAAGGACACAGAGAGAAUCGAUAUGGGGGAAUAAUUAGCAGUCUCCUUGAUAUUAUUUGAUAGUAGUAUCCCUUGGGAACUUUAAAAAUACAUAAUCCUGGGCUACAAUCCUGAAAAUUUUGAUCCAGUGGUUCUGGUUUUGACCCAUUGGCAAAAUGAUUCCCACUUUGUAUCUUAUUGAUAAGGUAAAUCACCAGAAAUUUACAUUCCAGUAAAAUUUGCUUUUGUAGAAAAUCUAUUCCUUCAGCUUUCAAAGGGAGAGAUAUAUAACAAAUUGAUAUAUAUGAGGCAUCUUUGCACUUUUUUCUAUUGAGAACUUUCAUUAAAGAUAUUAUACACUAUAAUGUUCAGUCCUUGUAACUGAUUUCUUUUAACAUUCAGACCUAGGUAAACAUGUUUAAAUUAUACUCUAGAAUUUUUUCACUAGAAAAUUGAAAACAUGUAAUACACUGAAAUUUUCUCUUUGCCUGAGCUAGAAAGCAAAGAACUUUAUGUUCUGGCACUGCAGCUUUUCUUAGAAUUUGUGCAGAGGAUUUAUUCUAUUUCCUGAUCUUAAAUAUAUGAAAUAUUGUUGGACUUUGAUCUUUCCAUUUAUAUGCAUCUUUUAUAGGUUUCCUUAAAUUCAAAUUAGAUUUAUAUGAGACAUAAAAUAAUAAAACAGGAAUUUCUAACCUUUGUGUGUAUAGAAUAUAUGGUGAAACUGACAAUAAUAUUUAAUUUUUGAGUAAUUCAUUUGUGAGAACUAUGCUAUAAGCAUUUUAUAACAUCAACCUACAUAUCACCAAUCUGUGUAGUCCACAUAAAUCUUCAUCCCAAAGUGAUUUAGUUUUAGUGUAACAUAUGCAGAAACAUAGUCCAGUCUAACAAAUGUAAUUAAAAACAAGACUCAAGCUUUGAGACACAACUAAUUAAAUAUAGCAGAAGAUCCCUAAUCUCCACUUUCCCUUCAAAUUUCUUGGAUCCUUUAGAACCCAGCAGUUGCAAAAUUUCCUAAACUCUCUCUGACACUCAGCCAAUUUUCUUCCCUUCUCUUUUGGUUUUCUUAUUCAACACCGUGUCCUCUGCUUUUUAAGAGAGGACAGAAUUAAUUUCCACUCUCACCUACUGUUAGUUUAGGCAACUCUAUGGUUCCUAUGCUUUCCCACUUCCCACAGAGGGAAUUGCCUGACUCCUGGAUACAUCGAUCUCCUCUCGAUGGAUUCUCAGGCUGGUCAUACUGUUGAGGUAUUCCCAUUUUUAAUAAGGCACUAAGGUUUUGCAAAAUUAAGCAACCUCUUCAAAGUGACCUGGCUAAGAAUGAAGAUAUUAAAGUACAGGGACACAACUUCAGAGUCUCUGUGCUUAAACUGUAUUCUCUUGUUGCACCUUAUGGCAAGAGAGGGUGGCAUUUCAAAUAUAUUUUCUAGAAACAGUGUUCAUCCUUUCAAACUACUUAUCAUGUUUGAUUUUAAUUGCUCAAUUUUGUCUUUCAUUGUAUGCAUUGUAAGUUCAGUGAGAUAGUUUUGUCUUAUUUAGUACUGAAUUUUCACCAUUAUAUGCACUUCUGGGUACAGAAUAAGCAAAAAAUAUGAAUUAAUAAUCUGAUGAUUAUAUUAAAAAGGGGUGCAGCUUCCCCUAUAACUGUGAUUUGUCAUUAAUAGAGUACUUAGCUCUAUAAUCUCAAGGCUUUUUCAGAAAUAAAGAGUAGUUACUUGCCACAAAAAUAUAAGACCACUGGUAUAUACUUAUGAGUUUUCUUUCUUUCUUGGCUCAUAAAUUGAUUUUGAAGGACAUUUAAAAAGGAUAGUUUAAAAAUGUUUUAAGCAGUGACAACACUGUAUAUGCCAUAAUGGUAAAAGCACAGCAUUUUAUAGGCAGAAAGUUAAAAUAUGGAUCCUAGCUCUGAACACUCUAGGGUAAGAACACUGAAUAAUUUAAAUUUCAAAUUUUUCACUUUAAACUGGGGAUACCACUUGCAAUGGAUGGUUUAUUUGUUGGUACCAAAGGUGGGCUAUUGUGUGCAAAAUGUUUUUGAAAAAUCUCAAUAUUUUAUCUGAAUUAUUACAUUUUUAAAUUGUUAAAAUGUCAUGAAUAAUAACUAUAUCAUCUUUGGAUACAUAAAUGUACAAUAGUGCCACAUUUUAAAACUAAAAGUCUCAAGAGAAAAGGAUAUAGGGGCUUCAACUUUCUUCAUCUAUUUUUGAACAAUAACUAUGGGUGUUAUCAAGUGCAUUUUUAGUGAUAAUAUCCUAAGUUUAAUGAUACAUUCCUCACACCACACACUUUAUGGAGUAGUAAUACACCUUGAUUUAUAUAUAAAUAUGACAGCAAUGCCAUUCUAUAGUAUUGUAAGUAUUUUAAAAAGUAAAACAUUAUUUAUUUCAGUAAACAUUUAGCAAAAUAAAAAUCAGAUUCCAAUUCUCCAUCUUGUUAAGAAAUAAAAUUUGGAAAAUAAACAUCUUCAUUUUGAUAGAACUAAACAGUUAUAGAUCUUUCAUAGUUUUUUUCUGGUUUUAUCAAGGUUUUAAAAAUCAUAUUUUAAAGAGUGAGCAUAAUGAAACAUAAUUAAGUUCCACCAAAUAAACAAUGAGUGCACUUCAACAAUGUCAGUAAUUCAUAAUGUGUAUUAAAUAAAAUUGAGACUCAAGACAAUUACUUUUAAUUAGGUUACAGAAUAUGAGCUAUAGAGAAGUGGCAAGCCUCCAUAGUGUACCGGCAAUUAUUUGAAAAGGUCACUGGAAAACAAAUAUAUUAAGAUCCAAUAGGAGAAUAAACACAGGAGUUUCUAAAAUAUGAAUUUUGAUGAGCUCUAAUUUCACAGUGCUUUACUAUUUUUCAAAUAUGUUCCAAUAAUGUGUUUUCACCUUUAUCCUAUGUAUUGCUGUGAAAUAGGCAGGUUUGCCAUAACAUUUAUGCAAAAACAUAAUGCAGAGGAUGGAUGAUACCCUUGCACUUACUUUCAAAACUUAGUCAUCACCAAAAAUGUAUUUUGCUAGCAUAAUAUACAUUGAACUGGGACACAUGGCCAAGAAAACUAUCUUGCAAAUGUAUAUCAACUAAGUCACUGCCUUCUUGGGGUUUCCCUAUCACUUUUCUUAAGCUAAGGAUCUUCUUCUCAGGUUGUUUCAAAAUACAUUUUUUGUGGCUUUUCCUUCAUAUUCUUAGUUCUAAGAGCUCAUCUAAUUUAUUAUGCAUGUACUAACUGUAUAACUAUGAAAGCUUUAGGUACCAAUGCCUUUUUCAAGCAUCAUUUUUGUAAGAUAUGGACUCUCUAAGCUUUGAAGAAUUGAUUUGAUUAACCCUUUGAAAAGAAUUAGACCCACAUUUUGGAAUGAAGUACAAAAAUUGUAAAUCAUUAAGCACAAAUACAAAAAGACCAUAUAUAGAUAUAUCUUCUGUGUAACUUUUGGUGUAUUAUAAAUUAUCUCCUAAUUAGGUGUGAUCAAGACCAAUAUGUUUUUCCUGGUUCUAUUGAGGAACUUGUUGGAGGAGUGCAUUUUAUUUAGCAUCAUUUGCUCCUUCCUUUUCUGUGUCUUGCACCCAUUGUAUCUCAUGUGGUUCCAUGUCAUUUACAUUGGACAGGUAGAUUAGGGAACAUUUGUUUUAUUGCAACCAACAGAAAGAAAAUGACUGAGUAACUCAAGUAGAAAAUGGAGUCAUUGGAGGUUGCUACAUAUAAUUAAAAAAUAACUAAACAGUUGUGCUUCUGGGAGUCAGGGGCGAGGGGAAGAUCUGAGAUCUUAGUAACUGCUGUUCAUGGAGACACUUGGUCCCCAAAGGACUACAUGUCUUGUUUAAACUUCCGAUUCUCAGGAGAAAUGCAGGGAUUCAUCCAAUUUUGUUUCUAAUGUUCCUACUUCUGCAUCCAUCAUCCAGGGCCAAAAGUGUAAUGGAAUGGCACAAAUAUGGCAGGGUUGGUAUUGCUGGGAGCUAAGAUACACCUUAACUUUGUGUUUGUCACUGUUCUUCACUAUCAUCAGGUUGUUGAUAAGGUCAUUGGAAGGGUUUCUUUCCUUUACAUCAGUAAUUCUUUAAAUUUCAGAAUUUGAGCACCGAAUGCUUAUUAGGUUUUAUCAACAACUCAAUAUAUUUCUAUUUGUUAGUUUCUUGCUCAGAUUGCACAAUGCUGCAAUUAUGACUUUUGUCACCACUUAGGACAAACUGGUCCUUUUUGUACUUCUGGAGAAGGUGGACUCACUUUGCUUUUCAUGGAGAACAUAACUUUUGAGUUGAGGGCCAUCAAAAGAUUACUUUCAGGAGACAGUUCUUCUGACAGCUGUUCAUAUUCAGAUCAUGAUGGUAUCAACAAUGUGCAGAAAGCAGUUGGCCAUCUGAUGCCUCAGAUUCCUUCAUUAGAGUCAUUACCCAAGCUGCAGUGUGUAAGGUAAUUUUGAUUUGUGUAAGCCUAUGAGUUUAUUUGGGGUACUAAAAUGGCUUCUUAAUAUUAUGGAACCUUUUACUUCUUCCAGAGUCUAUCAAAUCUGAUCAUAUUGAUUAUAUUUUAAAUAUUUCCAUAAUUCUCUCUUUAAUACAUGGAGAUUAAAAACAAAAAUUACAGCAGAUAAUCUGAUACUGAAACUAUAUAUCUCUGGAACUUUCUUCAGCUGCUUUGUUUGCCCUGUAGUAGUUUACAGUUGAAUGAGAUUAAUAUCUUUUCUACUAUCAGAUUGUACAGAAUCUAAUUGUACACCUUUGUUGUUUCUGAUC